rnacentral:lncRNA from 1 species
UGACUCUCAUACCUAAAGAGAUAAGCCACACUUUUGGCAUUUUUCCAAGAAAACCUAGCAACACUUUGAUCAUUUACACCAAGAAAAACCACAUCUACCAAAUGAGACACCUUAAUUUCCACUAUCCACUUGAAGCUUUUAUUAAUCUGGCCUCAUUAAAGUCACCAACACCAACAAAGGAUCUUCUAGUAUGUAAAAACACGAAUUAUCCAUACACUACCAAUGUUGAUAGAUACUAUGGUGGUGAUUGUAUAGCUGUUUUAAUUAAUUUAUUUCCAUUUAAUCAAAAUAAAAGUAGUUCUAGUCCAUUUACUCUAAAUGAAGCUAAAAGUACAAUAAUAUUUUCUUCAUUUUAAUCAAGAGUAAAAGUUUACUCUCAUUUCCACUUUUUUCUUCCUCCAUUUUCAUCUUUCUAUUUUUCAACAUUUUACUCCAUUAUUACCAAUCAAAGCUUAUAUUAAUUUAUAUAUCAUGUCAGUAGUUUG